rnacentral:rRNA from 1 species
GAGUUUGAUCUUGGCUCAGGACGAACGCUGGCGGCGUGCCUAAUACAUGCAAGUCGAGCGAACGGACGAGAAGCUUGCUUCUCUGAUGUUAGCGGCGGACGGGUGAGUAACACGUGGAUAACCUACCUAUAAGACUGGGAUAACUUCGGGAAACCGGAGCUAAUACCGGAUAAUAUUUUGAACCGCAUGGUUCAAAAGUGAAAGACGGUCUUGCUGUCACUUAUAGAUGGAUCCGCGCUGCAUUAGCUAGUUGGUAAGGUAACGGCUUACCAAGGCAACGAUGCAUAGCCGACCUGAGAGGGUGAUCGGCCACACUGGAACUGAGACACGGUCCAGACUCCUUACGGGAGGCAGCAGUAGGGAAUCUUCCGCAAUGGGCAAAGCCUGACGGAGCAACGCCGCGUGAGUGAUGAAGGUCUUC